rnacentral:rRNA from 1 species
AACGAACGCUGGCGGCAUGCCUAACACAUGCAAGUCGAGCGAAACAUGCGGGCUUAGUGGCGCAUGGGGGCGUAACGGGGGGGGAACUGCCUUUAAGUCUGGAAUAACUCCCCGGAUGAGGUCCUAAUACGGGAGCUAGUACCGCGACCAAAGUGUUAUCGCAAUUGGGUGGGCUUGGGAUGGAUUGGCUAGAUGUUAGGGUAAACGGCUAUCAAGGGGAGGAGACAUAGCUGGCUUGAGAGGAUGCGCAGCCACACUGGGACGGGGACACGGUCCAGACUCCUACGCGAGGCAGCAGUGGGGAAUAUUGGCAAACGGGGGAAAGCAUGAUGCAGCAAUGCCGCGUGAGUGAUGAAGGCCUUAGGGUUGUAAAGCUCUUUUACCCGGGAUGAUAAUGACAGUACCGGGAGAAUAAGCUCCGGCUAACUCCGUG